GACGAACGCUGGCGGCGUGCUUAACACAUGCAAGUCGAGCGAUGAAGCACCUUCGGGUGUGAAUUAGCGGCGAACGGGUGAGGAACACGUGCGAAAUCUGCCUUCAACACUGGGAUAACUCCGGGAAACCGGGGCUAAUACCGGAUAUGAAACCUGCGGGCAUCCGCGGGUUUGGAAAGUCUUUCGGUUGAAGAUGAUCUCGCGGCCUAUCAGCUUGUUGGUGAGGUAAUGGCUCACCAAGGCGACGACGGGUAGCCGGCCUGAGAGGGCGACCGGCCACACUGGGAGUGAGACACGGCCCAGACUCCUACGGGAGGCAGCAGUGGGGAAUAUUGGGCAAUGGAGGAAACUCUGACCCAGCGACGCCGCGUGCGGGAUGAAGGCCUUCGGGUUGUAAACCGCUUUCAGCAGGGAAGAAGCGAAAGUGACGGUACCUGCAGAAGAAGCACCGGCUAACUAUGUGCCAGCCGCCGCAGUAA
rnacentral:rRNA from 1 species